rnacentral:rRNA from 1 species
CCUACGGGUGGCAGCAGUGAGGAAUAUUGGUCAAUGGACGAGAGUCUGAACCAGCCAAGUAGCGUGAAGGAUGACUGCCCUAUGGGUUGUAAACUUCUUUUAUAUGGGAAUAAAAUGUUCCACGUGUGGGAUUUUGUAUGUACCAUAUGAAUAAGGAUCGGCUAACUCCGUGCCAGCAGCCGCGGUAAUACGGAGGAUCCGAGCGUUAUCCGGAUUUAUUGGGUUUAAAGGGUGCGUAGGUGGGAUGUUAAGUCAGUUGUGAAAGUUUGCGGCUCAACCGUAGAAGUGCAGUUGAAACUGGCAUGCUGGAGUACGGUAGAGGUAGGCGGAAUGCGUGGUGUAGCGGUGAAAUGCUUAGAUAUCACGAAGAACUCCGAUUGCGAAGGCAGCUCACGGGACUGCAACUGACGCUGAGGCACGAAAGUGUGGGUAUCAAACAGGAUUAGAUACCCGAGUAGUC